rnacentral:tRNA from 1 species
CCGUCACUCUGUCACUACUCAACCGGGGAUCCAGCAGGACUUAAAGUCUAAAUAGACAGGAGUUAGGAAUGCGAUGGAAAGCUUACUUCUCUAUUACCAGGGAUUCACUCACUCAUUCAUUUUAUUUCCUUAUUGCAUUCAUAUCCCACCUUUUCUCCAGCAGCAACAUCCCAAAAUUUUAAGUGCCUGCUUCCACCAUUUUGAAAAUAUAUUUCUUUCUGUGUCUGCAGUUCAGUGUUGUUAAGUCACAAGCCCUGGUGAUCCUCGUCCUCAGGUUGCCCUGUGGGUAAUAGUUGUAAUACGCUUUUAUUAAAUAUUUUGUCUUCAGUUGCAAAAGCAAAAUUAAAACAGCAGGGGGCGUGGGCGCUGGCAAGAUGAAGGACGCAAUUAAGAUAAUACUCGCAUCAGCCACGACAGAUUUCCAUUGUUCCUGUUUAAAGGUAUUUUCUGCUUUCUAAAUUAAUGCAUUUUUCUCGGGCACGGCACAGAUUUUCUACGCUGCUUUGCCCGUUCUUCCCAAAAUCAACCUUCCUUUCUCAGUUUCAUACGGUGGUCCUCGUUUUACCUCUGGAAAUGGCCAGAGGCCUGUCUCAUCCAGUGCCUUGCUAUGGGGUACUGACUUCCUGAUGCCUUUUGAGAAGCCUGUGGGAUAGCUCAGUUAGCAGAGUAUGAGAAUCUUACUCUCAGGCUUGUGGGUUCAAGCCCCACACUGGGCAAAAGAUGCCUGCAUUGCCGGGGGUGGACAAGAUGACCCUCGUAGUCCCUUCCAACUCUACCAUUCUGGAAUUCUGUGAAUCCCCUCUCCUCCUCCUCCUGUCCCCUGGGAUUUUGAGGUAGAAGAAGUGAGGCAUCUGAUCAAAAUCUGCUUUGAGCUUAAAAAAUUAUAUUUGUAAAUAUAUUUUUCUCUCAUGCAAGGGAGAAGAGCAGCUGAAUACUCCGGCAGCUGUUCAAGGGGCCCCACUGCUAUAAAUAAAAGUAUUUCAAGGUUGUAAAAGGAAAUUAGAGCCAGAGAGCAAAAGGUCACACUGACCAGAAUACAAUCAAGCUGUAAAAACACAAUUAAGAACUGGUAAAUAGUGAAAUUUAUUGUUUAACAGAAGACUCUAGCCAUAAGGUUAAAGGUUAAAUUGCAAGAGGUUGCCUUUAGGAACAGCAGCUGGUUAGAAAAAAAGUUCUCUCCAAGCUGUUCUGAAGCUUCAGAGAACUUAGGAACUUAGCUUUUACUAAAUUCCUUCUAAUUUGAAAAGGCCUUUCCUUCUAAAAAUCUAUCUAUGUUAUGUAUGAAAUAUAUUGGCUUAAAUGUGAUUAUGCAAAGGAUUUAGAAAGUAAGAAAUGUUAGAUUCUUAUGUUAGAUUCCUAUUAUGGUGGGUGAGAAGGUGAACUCAAGAUCUCUUUAAGAUAAAAAAUUAGAAACCAUGCACCAUCUGCUUUAGCCAUCUGGUUUGCGGUGAAUAGGGCAACAGGGGCCAAAGGUUAUCUGGUAAUUGAGGUGCCUGGUCGAGGUAAAUGUAAGAUAUAUGGCUACUUGUCUGCCAUUUAUGGAUACAAGGAAAUAUAGCUUUUUGUCUCCCAUAAAAGGGAAUAGGAAAUGGGUGUAUCUUUUAUGAUUGGUUCUAGCAAACAACCAAUAGGAAUUUCAACCAGGCUGAUUGGACAGAGGCAGCCAAAGGAGGAGCAAGGGGGCUGGGCUGAGGAAAUAUAAGUGCUGGCCAUCAAGGGCUGGAGUAGGCAGAGCUUUGGUAUCCAUAUACCACUGUGUCUCUCAUUUAUUUGUCUGACAAAUAAAUUAUUAUUUUAAUUUCUCUAUUGCUGCGUUGAAUAUUUCAUUCCAGCUAAGCGUUAACCACAAGCAGGGUGCUACAUUUUAUGGUGCCUCUGUGACUCGGAUAAGUGGUCUGCUGGAACGCAGCCCCUUCGCCCUAGCGGGCAGGGUACAAGAGGGAGGACCACUGACCGCUUACCCAGCGCGCACUGGAACAUUUUUCCAGGGGAACGCAGAAGUCUCGUCUGUCUGAUACCCUGCUCACUGGCGGCGACGGACCGGGGGUAACCAGAGAAAUAAACAGGGAACCAGCUAAGGGUAAGUGCACAAAGGGGUUGUGGCCCUCCAAUUAAUUGGGAGGAAGAGAAGUCUUGAUCAAACUUCUGCGUCUCAGUAAGGGGGAACUGAGUACGCUAGGUGGUUGGGUACAUCAGAUGGUGGUCUGGUGGAGGGAAAAGGGAAAGAUUGGGAGGUAGAGUGUGGUGAAGUAUCCAGCGCAUUGUAUGUGUGAGAAAGUACAAUCUGUAGCUGACCUGAGUGUGGAGUGGGUAGUACUUCGGUUCCUAGUAAGGCGACUUCACUAGGCAAGGAUCCCCACGAAGCGUGUGUGUGAGUGACUGAGUGGAUACUUCACAGGGCCAUACAAUGGGAGUUGGAGGUUCAAGGGGGGAAAAUACACCUCUUGAAUGUAUGUUAAAUAAUUUUAAGAAAGCCUUCUCAGGAGCAUAUGGAGUCAAAAUGACGCCAGAGCGCUUGAGAACGUUAUGUGAAUUAGACUGGCCAAAACAAAAUACUGGAUGGCCACCUCAGGGAAGUUUUGAUAUAAAUUUAGCAAGCAAACUUUGGUCUAACAUCACCAAAGAAACUGGAGGGUGCCCAGAACAAUUUUCAUAUAUAGAUUCUUGGCUGAGCACAUUAAAUAAUAAUCCUCCAUGGAUAAGGGAAUGCAAAGUCCAACAAUGCAAAUUAUUGGCUGUAAAAGCCGAAGCUAGAAAAGGAAAAACCUCAGGCUAUGAUGGACUUGGUGACUUCAAUAGUAAAUACUCAUAGUCCUACUUGGACAGAUUGCCGCCAGCUCCUGAAUACUCUGUUCACCACUGAGGAAAGAAGAGACAUAAUUGAAAAGGCACAGAUAUAUUUGCGUGAGCAGGCCAGAGUGGGAAAUAUUCUUAAUGUUGACCGUCAUCUCCAGGACAAUUUUCCCUUGGAGGAUCCUAAUUGGGAUCCAAACAAUGCAAUUCACCUGGCCAGGCUUACCACCUACCGCCAGACGCUUGUGCAAGGUAUCCGCAGGGCAUGCCAGAAGCCCACUAAUAUGACCAAAGUCUCAGAAGUAGAACAGAAACCGAAUGAGAGUCCGGGAGACUUUAGAGAGGCUGCAGGAAGCCUAUCGUAUAUGGACUCCUUUUGACCCUGAAGCCCCUGCAAACAGCAGAAUGAUUACUGCUACUUUUGUGGCUCAGUGCGCUUCUGACAUUCGUAAGAAAAUUCAGAAGUCAGAAGGCUGGGAAGGGAUGCUGAUGAGCCAAAUUAUGGCCAUUGCACGCCGAGUUUAUCGGAAUAGGGAUGAGGCUGAGAAACAAGAGAAGAAGAAGUGGCAGAAGGAAAAGAUGGUGAUGCUAGCCACAGCAGUGAAGCAAGACUACCGCCCUUUAAAUGGAGGGAGAGGGCGGGGAGGAAUCCACCACUGGGAAGGAAUCAAUGUGCGAAUUGCAAGAAGGAGGGUCAUUGGAAGCGGGAGUGUCCUGAACCCCUGAGGUUGGAAGAAGUACGCCCAGGCCCAGGCCCAGGCUCCGGCCCAAGAAACCAGGGACGGGGAUGGGGAAUGAUCCGAGAUGGAAGAUAUCAGAGACCUGGACAAGGACGGAGUAGAGACAAUUUCAUUGGACUGGCAGAGGAGGAUUUUACCCAAGACUAGGAACGACCGGACUCCAUAAAGUUAGGCUUCCAGGAGCCCACGGUCAAAAUUCAAUUAGGGAGCCAUUUAAUAGACUUUAUGAUAGAUACUGGCGCUGAAUACUCAGUACUCCCAGAACUAUUGCAGAAAAAGGCAUCCAAAAGUGUAGUCAUUAAAAGUGCCACUGGUCAGUCAGCUAAGAGGUCUUUCCUCCAACCUUUAGAAUGCCAGAUUGGGGGACAUCAUUUAACCCAUCAGUUUUUGUAUAUACCUGAGUGUCCAAUGCCUCUCUUAGGUAGAGAUAUGCUGUCCAAAUUGCAGGCCCAAAUCACCUUCACUCCUCGAGGUCCAGAAAUGAAACUGCCAUCAAAGGCAGCAGGAAUAAUUCCCUCUCAAUACCUAAGGAACAAUCAUGGCGCCUAAUGUCAGCCCUGCAAGUCCAACCCACAUUGGAUACAGAAUUAAACAAGCUCCUCCGAACCCUACAAGUGCCACCAGGAGUAUGGGCCGAAAAUAGCCCACCAGGAAUGGCUAAGAAUAUAGCUCCAAUUGUAGUAACCCUAAAACCUAUGGCUACCCCUGUAUCUGUAAAGCAAUAUCCUUUACCCCGGCGAGCAGCAGAGGGCAUCCAGAAACAUUUGGACCGCCUAUUAAAAUAUGGUCUGCUUAAGCCCUGCCAAUCAGAAUGGAACACACCCCUUUUGCCUGUUCGGAAGCCUGGGACAGAUGAAUACAGGCCAGUACAGGACUUGAGGCUCGUAAACCAGGCUAUCGAGACCUUGCACCCAAAUGUACCAAACCCAUAUACCUUGCUGAGUUUGAUCCCACCAGAAGCAACUAUCUUUACUGUAUUGGACUUGAAAGAUGCAUUCUUCUGUUGCCGGCUGGCACCACAGAGCCAACCUAUAUUUGCCUUCCAGUGGGAAGACCCUUUGACAGGAACAAAAGGCCAGCUAACCUGGACAAGAUUGCCCCAGGGAUUCAAAAAUUCCCCAACUUUAUUUGGCACUGCCUUGGCGAAGGAUCUAACAAGUUACCCCUCAAUACCUGGAAAAAAGGUGGUUCUGCAAUAUGUAGAUGACCUUAUACUAGCGGCAAAGGAUUUUGAUACCUGUAAAGAAGGGACAGAGGAACUGCUCCACUUGCUCUGGGAAGCUGGCUACCGAGUUUCCCAGAAAAAGGCACAGUUAUGUUUAGAAAAGGUCAAAUAUUUGGGCUUUGACAUCUCACACCAACAACGAGCAUUGAGACCAGAGAGGAAAGAAGCUAUUUGCCUUAUCAAGGAACCUACCACAAGGAAACAACUCAGAGGAUUCCUGGGAACAGCAGGGUUUUGUAGACUAUGGAUACCUGAUUUCAGCAGUCUGGCCAAGCCCUUACAUGAAAGCACUCGAGGUGCAGAAAAGGACCCAUUCGUAUGGGGACCUGAGCAGCAACAAGCCUUUUUAGUUAUCAAACAACGACUUAUGGAGGCCCCAGCCCUUGGACUGCCUAAUUCGGAAAAACCCUUUCAGCUGUAUGUACAUGAACAGAAUGGGAUUGCAGCAGCAGUCCUGACCCAGAGAUUAGGAAGUUGGAACCGUCCAGUAGCUUAUUUGUCAAAACAAUUGGACUCAGUAGCAAAGGAUGGCCUCCAUGCCUAAGGGCAGUAGCGGCCACUGCAAGCCUUGUCAAAGAAGCUGAUAAAUUUACCUUUGGCCAGACGAUGUAUGUGAAUGUACCUCAUGCUGUUCUGACACUCAUGGAAUAUAAGGGUAGUUAUUGGCUAACGAAUCCAAGGAUGGCUAGAUACCAAGGCCUAUUGUGUGAAAAUCCCAGGAUUCAUCUACGAGUAGUGAAUAUGCUCAAUCCAGCAACUUUGCUGCCCUACCAGAGGUAGAUGAUGAAGAAUCACAUGAUUGUCUCCAAAUAAUGGAUGAAGUGUAUUCCAGUAGACCCGAUCUGAAAGAUGAACCAUUGAAAAAUCCAGAUGUUGUAUAUUAUACUGAUGGUAGCAGUUACCUGCAUGAAGGUGCCAGACGAGCAGGAUAUGCUGUGGUCACCAAUGAGGAAGUUGUGGAAGCUGAAGCUUUGCCUGCUGGCACCUCAGCACAAAAGGCUGAACUUAUAGGUUUAACUAGAGCUCUGCAAUUGGCAGCCGGAUGUAAGGCAAACAUCUAUACUGAUUCUAAAUAUGCCUUCUUAACCCUGCAUGCACAUGGAGCUCUAUGGAAAGAAAGAGGUCUAAUCGGAGCCCAUGGGAAGGCCUUGAAAUAUGGACCUGAAGUAGAAAUCCUGUUGGAAGCAGUAUGGGCUCCAGAACAGAUUGCUGUAAUGCACUGCAAAGGUCAUGGACGUGGAAGGGAUCCAAUAACCAGAGGAAAUCAUGCUGCUGACAAAGCAGCCCGAGAGGCAGCCCAGAAGCCUGUGGGAGGAUUUAUAGCAGCCCUCAUACCAGAGGUAGUUCCAGAAGAAAUUAAACCUCACUAUACCCCAGAAGAGAGGAAGUGGGCUGAACAGGAAGGAGCGGUUGUGAAGGACGGUUGGAUGAUCCUGCCGGACAAUAGGAUUUAUGUACCUCAUCACCUAGCAGGCACAAUUGUAAGAAAUUAUCAUGAAUCUACUCACCUUGGCGGUACUGCAACCAGAGAGAGUCUCAGUCGGAAGUUGUAUAUUAUUAACCUAUCACAAUUAGCAACUUGCAUUUCACAGAAAUGUGUUCUUUGUGCUAAAAACAAUCCCAGGCAGGGACCGGUACAACCUCCUGGAAUCCAACAUGUGGGAUACGUCCCCAUGGAAAGCCUAAUUGUGGACUUCACAGAGCUGGUCCCUUCUAAGGGAUUCAAGUACCUCCUUGUGUUUGUAGAUACCCUUACCGGAUGGGUUGAAGCUUUUCCCACCAGGACUGAAAAGGCACGAGAGGUAACUAAGAGACUCCUCACUGAAUUGAUCCCGAGGUUUGGAUUACCUAGAUGCAUUGGAAGUGAUAAUGGGCCAGCGUUCAUUGAUCAAGUAGUACAAGAAGUAUGUCGAGUCCUACAAGUGAAAUGGAGACUGCAUGCAGCAUAUAGGCCUCAAAGUUCGGGGAAACUGAAAGAAUGAAUCGGACUCUGAAAACCCAAUUGGCAAAAUUAACCCAGGAAACAGGAUUGGGAUGGGUAGAUGUGUUACCCAUAACACUGUUUCGUGUUCGGUGUGCACCCACAAAAAGACUUAAGUUGUCACCUUUUGAGCUCCUGUAUGGGAGGCCACCCUCCUUUGUUCAGGAUAUUCCAGCUGACCUCAAACAAAUAGGAGACCAUGUGACACAGGGACAAGUGCAAUCUCUCUCCCGUGUUUUUGUUUCUCUUAACAGGUGGGCCCUCGAGCGCACGCCGUGCAGCAUUGCCGAGCCGAUUCAUCAGUUCCAGGCUGGCGAUAGCGUAUGGGUGAAAGAGUGGAAACGUGAUCCACUUGCACCUAAGUGGCGUGGGCCUUACACCGUCUUGCUCUCUACUCCAACAGCGGUGAAGGUAGCUGAGGUGACCCCCUGGAUUCAUCACUCCCGUUUGAAGAAGUCCGAAGGCAGUUGGACGUGCAAAGGUGACCCCUCUAAUCCUUUUAAACUGACUCUCUCCAAAACCCCCUGUAUCUAGCCCUACGGGGAACGGGCUAGGUCACGGGCAACAUUAGACGACUGGCCUGCUGCAGCCACAACCUGGAAGCUGGCUGACCUGCGCACGCCUGAAGCUUGAGGAGCGUCUGAACCAGCGAUUGUGAACAGGAAGAUUCUCUUAUACAAUUGAUUGACUGCCCCCCCUGUGGAACAAUUAUCAGGGAUAUUACUCAUUGGGGAUCCUCGGGAUAUAUGUUUUGGUCUUGGUGGUUCCCCAUUUCUGUCAUUGGGGGAAUUAUAUUGGGCCUAAUAUUUUUUGUUAUCACAAUAAGGUAAUCUUUUGUGGAAGAAAUGCAUAUACUAGACAUCAACAUGAUUUUAUUAUUAAUCCUGAUCCCUUGGGAAGGGGAAGGGUCCUUGAAUCUGACCAAAUUUGCUAAAUAUGGAUUCCGCCAUGACCACAAUAUGUGGGUAGGCUUAGCUGAGAUGGUAGCCAAUGUUACAAAUAGGACCAAUUGCCUUGUUUGCUCUCUUGGACCAGAUGAUUCAGAGGGAGGUAUGCCCUUAUUACCGAUACCAUUAAAUGCCAUUGGUAUGGUAAGCGAAAUGCCACACCAAACAGAAGUACAGAAUUUCCCCGGAUGGAACUCAACUAAACCAAUACGAGUUAUACCUGUGCAAGGGGAAUUCUGUGUACAUAAAUUAUCAGCUGCAGCUGAUUCUAUCAUGAUAGGCUCUUCUCAUUGCCACUAUACUUGGGAUUAUAUUAAGAAUAGUCAAACCUGGGCAAACGGUACUACCUAUCGAACUCGGAAUACCUUGCCCUGUGCACCUCCUUUUAUUCAUGCAUGGAAACUGGUGUGGAACAUAACUGUGACAGAAAAAGGCAAUCUAACAUACUGCACUGUGAACUCUAUGCCCCUUUUGAUAUUUCGCCUUAUGCACUCCACGUACCAAAAACCUCAGACCCGAUGGUUGUGGUGGAUAUGUGGAGAAUGGGCANNNNNNNNNNNNNNNNNNNNNNNNNNNNNNNNNNNNNNNNNNNNNNNNNNNNNNNNNNNNNNNNNNNNNNNNNNNNNNNNNNNNNNNNNNNNNNNNNNNNCUGUCCCCUAGGAUUUUGAGGUAGAAGAAGGACGUAUGAAGAGUCUCCGGAAUCAGGCCAAAGGCCCAUCUGCAGCCUAGGACCCACGUACCUACGGGACUGCCUCUCCUGGUCUGCCCCGCGGAGGACCUUAAGGUCCACAAAUGACAACACUCUGGAGGUCCCAAGUCACAAGGUGGUUAGACUGGUCUCAACUAGGGCCAGGGCCUUUUCAGUACUGGCCCCCACUUGGUGGAACGCUCUGUCCCAAGAGACUAGGGCCCUGCGGGACUUGACAUCUUUCCGCUGGGCCUGCAAGACAGAGCUGUUCCGCCUGGCCUUUGGUCUGGACUCAGUCUGGCCCUUAUGUUUCCCUUCCCUUACGGUUUUGAUCUAUGGGCCACUUUUCAAAUGAGGCUGCAUUUUAAACUGCGUUUUAACCUGUAUUUUAAAUUGGUUCCUCCCCUAUUAUGUUUUCACUGUGAUUUUAUUGGUGAUAGCUGCCUUGAGCCUGGCUCUGGCCGGGGAGGGCGGGGUAUAAAUAAAAACUAUUAUUAUUGUUGUUGUUGUUAUAGAAUCAAAGAACUGUAGCAUUGGAAGGGACCACAAGGAGGGACGAAACUAGGCUCAUUUUCACCCGGGUCAAAUACCCAGUUUGGCACACCCCUCCAUGUGCAUUUGUGUACACACACACACAGGCUUCACCCAGGGCAAAAUCCCAGCUCUGCCACAAGGGUCAUCUAGUCCAACCCCCUGCAAUGCAGGAAUCUUUUGCCCAACAUCCUGUUCUUACAGUGGCCAACCAGGUGUCUGUGGAAGUCACCGGUGCCCUGAAAACAAAAGCAGACUCUCACUCCCCUGGAGAUUCAGGACCUCUCCCUGUGGCUGAAGGGGCUCAGGCAACCUGGGGACCCCACACCAGCCCUGGAGGUCUGCCGGCCCUCGGCUGGACGCCUUCCCAACUUCCUCUCGCUUCCUUUUCUGACCU